UCCGGGCUCGCGGCGGCGGCGGCGGCGGCGGCGGUGGGACUGGCCCUGCGCCCGGGAACCGCCUGCGCUGGGCCGCCCGGGCUGACUCCGCGGUCCGCCAGGACCUGGCCCCGGUGAACCGGCUCGAGGUGCCCAGGUCCGGCUGCGGGGCCGGGAAGCCCCCUCCACCUUGCCGUCUGUUACGACCCCCGAGGCACAAGGCUGACCCUCAUCUCACUAUCCGGGUCUGGAGUGGUUCACCUUAGAAGGAUUUUUUGAAGCUCUUGGUGCUCCCUCUGAAAGAACCCACUUCCUUGCGGAUUUCAGGAGCCAAGAAUCCUUAAACGGGGCCAAUUUGCUUUGUAAAGUCAAUUGCCCAAGUGACUUGAGUUCGAAAGGAGAUACUUCCUGGACAACUGCUAUAAAAACAGCAACAACAAAUCCUUUUAUUAAUUCGGGGAGUCUGGUCACCAACCGGAUGCUCAGGGGAGAUGGAGCCCUGAGCAGCCCAUAUACAUGGAAGAUCUUUAUUGCAGAGAUCUUCAAACCAGGUGUUGGCCUCAAGGGCACUUCCUAACAUCCUGUAUAAUGACAUCUCGGUCUGCCUCCUGGGAACAUAGCCUGCGCCAGAUCCUGUGGGUACACCGCUCCAGGCAUGAGCACCUCCUUGUGCUGGGUGUUGAGAGAUGCACAUUUUUCAAACAACAUGGCCCCUGAACACAAACUACUUCCUCUGUAGUGGAUCCAAAUAAAUGGUAAACUAUUGCACUGAUGAAGAAAAA